UGGGGAAUAUUGCGCAAUGGGGGGAAACCCUGACGCAGCAACGCCGCGUGAAGGAUGAAGGUUUUCGGAUUGUAAACUUCUUUGAUGAGGGACGAAGAAAGUGACGGUACCUCAAAAACAAGCCACGGCUAACUACGU
rnacentral:rRNA from 1 species